rnacentral:lncRNA from 1 species
UCUAUUUUUUCGAAGGAAUUUGCUCUCCUAUAUAUGCAUCACACAUGCCCAUAUAAUUGUCUUGGUCCAAAGAACAAACUAAAACAUCGAUGUAUUGAUUUAAAGUACAUUACAUUAAUAUAAAUAAUCUGAAAGGUUUGUAAUGCCGGUAGCAAUUUGCAAAAAUGGCCACCAUGCAUAUUUUAUUUUUGGUAUUGAAGGAAUGACCAUUUUCACUUUUCUAUGACCAAGAUGUUUCUUACCAUGUCAUCUCAAAAUAUAUGAAGAAAAGAGACCCUGCCCGAUGUUUCCCAUCUCUUUGGCCACCCACCAUCA